UGGGGAAUAUUGGACAAUGGGGGCAACCCUGAUCCAGCCAUGCCGCGUGAGUGAUGAAGGCCCUAGGGUUGUAAAGCUCUUUUACCUGGGAAGAUAAUGACUGUACCAGGAGAAUAAGCCCCGGCUAACUUCGUGCCAGCAGCCGCGGUAAUACGAAGGGGGCUAGCGUUGUUCGGAAUCACUGGGCGUAAAGCGCACGUAGGCGGAUCUUUAAGUCAGGGGUGAAAUCCCGGGGCUCAACCUCGGAACUGCCCUUGAUACUGGAGAUCUUGAGUUCGGAAGAGGUGAGUGGAACUGCGAGUGUAGAGGUGAAAUUCGUAGAUAUUCGCAAGAACACCAGUGGCGAAGGCGGCUCACUGGUCCGAUACUGACGCUGAGGUGCGAAAGCGUGGGGAGCAAA
rnacentral:rRNA from 1 species